rnacentral:rRNA from 1 species
UACGUAGGGCGCAAGCGUUGUCCGGAAUUACUGGGCGUAAAGCGUGCGUAGACGGCUAUCUAAGUCGGGUGUGAAAGCCCCGGGCUCAACCUGGGAAUUGCAUUCGAGACUGAAUAGCUAGGGUACGGUAGAGGGAAGCGGAAUUUCCGGUGUAGCGGUGAAAUGCGUAGAUAUCGGAAGGAACAUCAGUGGCGAAAGCGGCUUCCUGGACCAGUACCGACGUUCAGGCACGAAAGUGUGGGGAGCAAACAGG